CAGGGAAAGGGAGAGAAGAUAGUGUAAGACAUCUCUGGCAGCUAUUACUCAGCUUCAGCAACAAUAAGUUCCAUGAGGUGAAUGCAUGUAUGAGCAGUCAGAGUCUUGAAAGAAAGAGAUGAUAUUUUGAAGGUACGGGCUGUGUCUGGGGACUUAAUAAGAGAUAGUAAAGGGCCCUGAGCUCCAAACAAUGAAGACUGCCACCAACCCUGAGCUCAAAGGCAUGAGAGGAGGCAGCCGUUAUUGCAACCCUGAGAGGCUGUCUGUCUGGACGGAUGACCUUCAGUAAAAAGACCUCUUCAACUCUGACCACCUGGCAAGGAGAGAUUCUAAGACGUGGAUGAAACACAGUCAGAACCCGAGAAUGCCAUGGCGCUGGCUGAGUAAUACAUUGCCCUGAAACCCAUAAGCCAGGAGGCGAAAGAAGUUUCAAGGAAGUUAAGCCAGAAGUGUUGGAAAGCAUGCAGUUAUCGGCAUACAUUGAUGGGGAUUUUCAUUAACAAUUUUUAUUUCUGUGAAUUGCAGAGCCAUCACCCCCUUUCUUAUGGAGUUCCGCUGACAGCUGCUACUUCACACCUUCCUUCCAGCUGGGAGGGUGGGCUGAUGGCUGCAUGCAUAUGCGCCUAACACAGAGUAGCUCCUUAGCCAGCAACCUGGGCAUCAGCUUCCUCCUGGAGCCCACAUGUGUCACCUUCAGGUCUCCUGGGACUCCCGUCAUUUCUGUGAAUUCAUCAGGAGGCUCUGGUAGAAGGCAGGAGGCCAAGCAGGCUAACCGGUGACUGGGAACAAAGGCCGGUUCAGGAGGAGUCACUCACCAGCGUGCUAAAGAACGCUUCCUUUCUCCUCCAUAACGUGUUUAAACCCUAAAGAUUCAGUGAAUAGCUUUCGGUGCUCAGAAAAUAAAUGUGAAGGGAUAACAGAAAGGCAAGAUUUUUUUUAAAAUUGAUUUUAACAGACAUUUAUAAAAUAAUUGUAUGUAAAGGCUUGCCCAUGUUAUAGGGUAAACUCGUAAUUUCAGUAGAAAUAAUAAUUCUCAAGUAUAGUACUAUAACUAGUAACCCUCAAAUUCCUCAGCUCCCAUGGGAAGAUAUUACAAUCUGACUAAUCUCAUCACUAAACAUUAGAUGCUAGUCUGGACAAAAUUAGACUCAAUUAUUGUUAUGGUGUGACAGCUAUAGUCUAACACAUAUUGAAAAUAUUCUGUGUGGCAUAUUAACUGGUAUAAUCCAAUGAGCUCAUGAAGAAUUUUUAUAGUUCAUUUCUAGCAAACUGAAACAUUGCUUUUACUUUUCAAUCAUUGAAACAUAAACAUCAAAGUGCUUCUUAAAACAGUUUAUCAUUUUCUUACCACCUUUUGUCAUCUAGCUCCUUGGGAAACAAAUAAGAAGACUGGGAAAUAAUCUGUACUUAACUGCCCCUGAGGUGAUAGUGAAGCUUCCCCCGUCUCCAGGUACCACUGACCCUUUUAAAAUAAUAGCCCAGUCUCCACCAGAAUAGCGAUGAACGCGUGGAGAACAGGCGAUUCCCAUGGUCUCCAUGGUGGUCAUCCUUGGGGCCAGUUCACCCAGGCUCUAUUGGGAAACAUUUUAGAGAAAUUCACUUGUCAGAGUGCAGACACAUUGAACAGUUCUUCUAGAUAUUAAGAGUAUUUCUGAAAAGAGAUUUAUUUAGUAUAUCUAAUACUAUAAAUCAUCAGUAGAACAUAUACUAUAAACUUUGGAUGCAAGAAAAUAAUUUGCAAUGAAGGACGAUUAUAUACUGAAUACCAUGUUCUGAAAAUAUUUAGACAUUAAGCUUGUCGUUGCUCAUAUUAUUUGUAGGUCUAUAGACAUAUGUCACAAUUUAGUCCUUCAUUUUUAACCUCAUAAUAUUUUCCAUAGGUGACUUCCAAAAUGGUAUAUAGCAGAGCUUGCUUUUAGGUGUUUUAGUCAGUCUUGUUAUUCAUAAAUUUGACAGUCUUCAAUUAUUCCUCGGUUUGGUGGUCUGAUAUUAUCAGAGUAAUUAUGAAAUAUUUUUAGUAAUAUUUUGUCAACAAAGUGUUUGAUAUUUAAAGCAAUAUGCCUGUAUUAUCUGCAGCACUGAGAACUGAACUCAAGGCCUUCACACCGACCUACAUCUCCAGCCCUUUUGUUAUUUUUUAUUCUGAGCCAGAGUCUCACUGUCGCCCUUGUAAUCCUCCUGCCUCAGCCUCCUAGCUAUGUACGAUGAUGCCAAAUUCUCUAUUAGCUCUUUUAAAGCACAUAAAAUACUAAAAAUAAUUGUAAAAUUAACUCAACUCAAAUGAAUAUCCAGUCCAUCCAAUGCUAUCUUUAUACAUACCAUUUAUUCAGGGCUUGCUAUUUAACAUGUAAGUCUUCAGCAUCAAGCAUUUAUUAUUGCAUUUAAUCCUCAAUACAAUGUAAGGAAAAAGUUAUUAUUUGGUUAAUUUUCAUAAAUAAGGAAACUGUGGCAAAAAUAAGAUGUAUAACUUAUUCAAGUAGAGCUGGUAACUAGAAUUGGUAUAAAAACCUCAGUUUUAUGUUUUUGGCCCUUGCAUUUUAUUGUAUUGCCUUUCACAAGUUAAUAUUGAUCUAAGAGACUUUUUUAUCAGUACAUGUUUGCAGUGCAUAUGCUAAUAAAAGAGGUAUGGCACUGAUUCUUAAAAAUGUAGGGGUAUAAAAUUCAUUGCUAGGAAAAAGAUUGUUCUGUAAACAAAUGUUUGUAGUUUCAUGACCCUGCCCUCUGUCACUAACCUUAGACCUCAGCAUCUGUGGAGUAUACAUUUUGUCUCCACAAACAAAGCUACAAAAUAUGCAUUUUCCCCGUUUGCAUGUGGGAAUGCUGUUUAAGAAGGUAUAGACUGGAAAUGACUCAACAGUUCCAUAGAAAGUGGGCAAUUUUAUAUUUUUUCCUCUUUCAUGUUAGUGAGAUUUUUAUUGUAAAGCAAGAGAACAUAAUACAUUUAAUUAAAAUUAUAAGCUACUGAUAUCAAGAAUAUUUGGCACAAAAUUAUGUGUUAGAAUAGAUUUUUUGGGAAAUGAAAAUUAUGACCUGUUUUGGAAAAAUUCACUGCAGUUUCGCAUUUUGAUUAAACUAAAAAAUAAUUCCUUUGAUGAAAAUUACUUUGAUAAAGCUGACUUAAGAUGUAAAUUCGAAGAACUAAGAAUUGUGCAAAUGGUGAAUUUUCCAGGAGCAGGUUUAUUUUGACCUAGACGAUACGUAAUGUGUCAUCUUAAACCUUGAGGCACAAUUUUGGCACCACAAAGAUCUCUCAGUUGGUACCAGACAGGAAAUAUUUGCAGGGAGCUUUUGUGCAACAGAGUUAGGCUAGGGUAGAGUGGCACUGGCCUGAGGUCUCCUUGGUCCACCCCUGAUUUUUUGUUACCAGAAAGAAUUAAAGCAGAAGUGAAACUUUCUUUGGAA